GAGCAGGAUAGAAAUAUUUGUAAACGUUCCUCUGAAUAUUAUAUUAUAAAAAUAUUAGAUCAAGAGGAAUUUAUAUGUAUGGUAAUUUGGUAUCGAUAUUGUUCUACGUUAUUUUUCAGUAUUUUUUUUUUCUUUUUAUAUCUUUUUUUCAUUCAUCAUCGACCACAAGUUAUCAUAUAUAAAGACGAAGGCGACGACGACGUUAAUGGGAAUCACGAUUUCCAUUAAUGACAGAACCAGUAGGAGCAAAUUCGUAGCACGACGUCGUUUUCCUUCUCUUCGUCUCUUUGCGGAGAAAUUUUCGGAAGGGGUUAGGGUAAGAAGGAUAAGGGUAAAGGUAGAGAGAUGUAAGGGUAGGUAGGAUGAUAAGGGAAGAGGAAGAGGAAAGUAAUCGAAGCUCACCAAGAGUAGAAAGGACGAACGAUUCUCGCAAUUCCAUGUGUGUAACAUUACUUUCACGAAAAAUAUAAAAACGAAGUCGACGAAGCACUUUUUAAAAUAGUUACAUACGUCGAUCGACUCGUGAUAUCGAAAUUAUUUGCCGAUCUUGAUAGAAUUUUGAUUAAUACAUUUAUGCGAAUUCGAAUUCAGUAUAUAUACUCGUUUACGAUCGAUCUAACUGGAACUUUCGAUUUGUUUGUAAUUAAAAUCGAGCGAGAGAACCUUCUCAUUGAGAGAUUCACGAUGUGUACGUCAUUGUUUUUCAUCGCGACAAUUUCUACAAAAAUUUCUGCUUUUCUUCUCUCAUUCAAUGCCGAUUACGUCUUCCUUAUUUUAUUUCUUUUUUCUCUCUCUUCGUUCGUUUACCAAAAGAAUAUCGCAUCGGUUCUCUCGUUUUUGUUAAGUUAUUUCGAGCCUAGUAUAUUAUUCCUUCACCAAAAUAAAAUAAUAAAGGAAAUUCAACGAACGAUCCUAUGUCUUUUAAUUAAUUAUCUUUUCAUGAUAUCUCCUAAAUGGAUUUAAUUAAAUAAAUUUCACCAUCAUCGUCGUCAUCAUCAUUUUCUUCUUCUUCUUAAUACUUCAUAAUAAAAUUUAAUUGUUGAUUAAUUCGUUUGUUUGGAUCAUAUAAAAAAAAAAAUCCAAAGAAAAAGGAAAGAGACAAAGGAAAAAGACAAAAGUGUUCGGUUUAUGUAAUCAAUGUUCGACGAUUAUCGCUUUCGAUAUCUUCCGAAGCAUAACAUAACUCGAUUUUAACGAUCGACUCUUUCACGUUCAGAAUUUCGACCAAUCGCGUUUCAUUCGAGCGUCGCGCAAUUCUACUAACGGGGAACAUCGGGGCAUGUGUAAAACGUCUCGUAGAGAGUGACAGAAAAUGAGAGAGAGAGAGAACUUAGUAAGACCUUUAAAACGAAAACUUUCCAACGUGUUCGACGCUCCUUUCUCGUGACUCCUUACAACGACCUCUUACCUCUUUGGAUUCGUGUUUCCGAAGGUGGCACUCAAGAAGAGAUAAUCUGGGAUUUCGGAAAGGGGUUUGCCUGCCUGCCUGCCUUUCCUUUCCUUUCCUUUCCUUUCCUUUCCAACUUAACGUAAAUCUUCGACAAGUGAAAAUCGUUACGAGAUCUUAGUUGCAUCAUGAUCGGUUUUAUAUCAUGGUAUCUAUAUCUAUGAUCUAAUCAUUUUAUCUCUAAAGUGAUUCGAGUGAAAGAAUGAUAUUCAAUUUAAUUUUUUUUUCAACGAAUUUUUCAUAGAAAUACUUGAUAAUUUUUCUAAGCAAUUUCUAAUACGAUUGAGACCUAUUAUUCGUCUUUAAAGAAAACUAUUAUUAAUAAUAUAGGAUGACAAAUUCCCAGAAUUGCCAAGAGAUUUCAAGACGAAAUAAACGAAAAGGAAGGAAAUACUAUAAUAAAGAACGAACGAGUAAUGCACGAGUGAUCGGAAAAGUAUCAUGGACAAAGACAAUCAAAUAUUAUUACGACAGAUUCAGAUAUUAUUAUUUUUAUGUCGCAGAAAAAGUCGAUACUUUCAUUGCUGCUAUUUGCUUGUGGAUCAUCAAAUUAUAUUUCUCUUUAAUGGGAUAUGGACUGAUCGUUAACAAAGUCGAUACAAUGAUCGACGAGUAAUCAUCACUAUCAAAUAAAUUGUCUUAAUAAAUUGUCUUAAUAAAUUUUCUUAUUGUCAAUGCAUAUUUAUAUAACCUAUUACUUUUCAUUAAAAGGAAAUCUAAUGUAA